rnacentral:lncRNA from 1 species
UUGCUUCAAACUUUACUCAUCAAGGAGCAGAUAGAGUGUGAGUGGUUACUAAAUCACAACUCUUCUUAUUGCUUUAUCAUUAGUAACAUUCUAUUCAUCUUGAAUUUGUUAAGCACAACAACUACCAUUGAGAUAAUGCUGCUAAAAAUAAUUGACAUAGGCACAUGCCCUCACCUAUAUUCAGUUAUGCAUGAAAAAUGACUGCAAAUGAGAUUAGCAUCGACUAGAUAUGUCUGCACUUGCAAGUUUAAUGUGCAGUGUGCACAUGUUGACUGGGCCCUACAAAAAAAGUUUCCUCGUCGUUAUUGAGCUUGUUGGCAGCCUGAAACUUUAUGCUAAACAUGGUUCUUGCUACCUCGUCGACAAAAUACCCUCUCUUGAUUUUGGCUACAUAGUUGCCCUAGUCUUAGCCCGGGUGUUCUGCACAUUGAUCAUUGUGGGCUUAUGAUUGGCAUCUGCCUUGGGUUUGGUGUCUGUUGCGCUUCUAUCUGGAAUAUGGCAUUUGUCUAUUGUAGCACUAUGGUCACUGGCGUCCUCCCUUCUCUUCUCGGUUCUACUCCCUCCGUUCCAAAUUACUCGUCGUGGUUUUAGUUCAAAUUUGGAACGGGGGGAGUAUAAGAAAGCACAUGCUAGUCCAUUUUUUUGUUAAGCAGUUAACACCCUUAUGUGUUUUGUUUCUGUUGGUCAAGCUGGAGGUGGAGGGGCACCAGAUAUUUAUCGAAACGAUGCGGGAUUCCAAAAGGAAGAAGUCUCCCUGAGAGUAGAAGCUCUCUUCUUACCCAGACCGGUCCAGCCGACUACUUGUACAAUUAAUCGAGCCCUACCACUGUAGUCCCCCCCUAACAUUAUUGAGCUGGGCAGAGUAGCAUUCAUGCCAUUGUAUGUUGUGUUUUGUUUUAUGUAUGUUUAGGCCUCUUUUUUAGUGAGAUGAAACAAGAGAGCAACUUGUUGGAAGUAAUACAUUUGAUGUGUGCAAUCCAAUGAGUGCUGAGGCACGCAGUGAAUAUUGUUAUGCUCUUACUUCACAGAUGAUUUGAGUAGAUUCUAAG